rnacentral:lncRNA from 1 species
CCGGAUGUAAGAUUUUAAUUUUUUUUACCAAAAAUCCGUCAUACGCAUAGGGCACCUGGAAGACGAAACAGAUAGCGCGCACAUGUUGGGCGUGCAGUACACUAUAUUUCCAAGGUGGGCGUUGUCUUUGAUGCCCCCGCUUCUACUUUAGAUGCGAUCCGGGUUUUUUUUUUUUGAUAUAUAUAGUUUUUGUUAUAUUUUUUUUUCAGGAUAAUGGGGAAGUUGACUAUUCUUAAUAUUUUCAAGGAGUACAAUUGUUUAAUUGUAGAGCCGAUUUCAAUACAGUGGGCGAGAGAUAUAGCUGAAAGUCAUGGCAUUAAGCUAAGUAUAGGUCAUACUUUUUGUGAUACAGUAUACGUUAUUUGUGAUCGGUUUGAGAAAAAACAGGUGAAACGAAAGAAUAGAGGUGUAGAAAAUACAAAAUGUACUAGCACGAAAAAAUGUAAUUGUGGUUUCCAGUUGAAGGGGGCUCUACAAGCAGAGGAUAAAUGGGAAUCUCUAUAAUUUACGGGAAGCAUAAUCAUUAUCCUCCGGCUUCGAAGCAUGGUC